UAAUGAUAUUCUAGGGAUGGUGCAGUAUUCUAGUCAAUCCUCCGAUUCUGAAGGCGGGCCUAAAAAUCCGCCAAAGGGCACAUCGAUGAAGUUCCUUGUGUCGGCUUGAGGCGCCCAGCCUUGGGUCGGUGCUGGGAGUUAAGGUUGUAGGGCGAUCCACAAAGGCAUGUGGGCGAAGACCCUACUUCCGCGGAGGCCUAUCUCUGCUAUGAUUUCUUAGCCAAGAAAUCGUGGUGGAAUGGGGUAUGAACCUACGGAAUAGGAGUUAGGGAAUUCCUAUUCGUAGCGUAGCCUGCCUUGAGUGGAAUAAAGGGGAUUACGCUUAGAGAAUGUGGUAAUUAGUAGGCCACUAAUUACUAUCAUGUGUUAUUCGUAUGAAAUUUAUUCUGCAAAAGAGGCUAGGAGUCGCCAAAGGGUUGUUGAGGAAAUCUCCUAGACUGUUCCGGUGGACAUUUAAUUGGGAUUAUAGUGCGGACUAAGUGGUAAUCCAGUCUAGUUGUCGGUGACGGCACUAAAAUAGAUUUAAAGGGGAACCGCCAGAAUGGCAACAUUCGGUAUCUAUUUGGGAAAACCUACUGGACCUAAGCCGCAGUCUUUACCUUUUAAAUGACCAUCCCAAACUUACAUAAA
rnacentral:sRNA from 1 species